ACGGGGGUUGCGAGCGUUGUCCAGAAUUACUAGGCGUAAAGGGCAGGUAGGCGGAUCUAUAAGUUUGAUGUUAAAGGCGACGGCUUACCCGUCGUAAGGCAUUAGAUACUGUAGAUCUAGAAUUCGGUUGGGGAAGACAGAAUUCCUGGUGUAGCGGUUGAAUGCGCAGAGAUGAGGAGGAAUACCGAAGUCGAAGGCAGACAUCUAGGCCGAUAUUGACGCUAAGCUGCCAAGGUGUGGGUAUCAAACAG
rnacentral:rRNA from 1 species